rnacentral:lncRNA from 1 species
GCAUGGGGCCGGGUGGGGUCAUUUAGCAGGCUGAUCACAAAGCAUGUAAUUCUUUCUUCCUUCUUUAUGAUUCUAUUUCUCAUGUUGCCAUGGAAUUUAUCGGCAAUAGCUACGGGAGUAGUGGCCAGGGAUCGUCUGGCAAGGGAAAGCGUCGCCAUGGCAAUAAGUAAUGUAGUCUUGGUAUAUGUUCUUAGUAUGUUUCCUCAAACUUGGUUGUCCGCAAAGAAGUUCUCUCGCUUGUGACAACGAAGUAUGACGAAGCUCGAGUUCGUCCUCGGCCACGCCCAGGCCAAGAAAUUAUGCACCCAGGUCCGGCUGUGAAUGAUCAGCCCAGCUAAAGAGCUCGCAAGGCGAAUCUCUGGCAGGAUCUAACCACUCCGGGCUCUACGAUAGCCAAGGAGGCGAAACUCAAAACUUCGCGGCCUUCCUCACGUUGUUUCUGGCUAUGAGAAUGACUUCCUCCUGUGUAAACAACAACAAAAAAUUUACGGAAUGCUGCCAGCAUGCUUGAGGCCUUUCUUGCUUUGCUUCGUUUUCAUUUUAACGAGCAUUUUCUUUCAUCUUUCCUUCCAGGUGCAUCCAUCCCGUUUCUUGCAAAAGCGAAAGUGAACCUUACAAGCAACGGAGUGUAGAGACGAGUCUUUUGGAACUGGAUGAACCUUUCCAUCCAAGCGGUGACCCCUUGGGAGGAAUCAACGCUGACAUGAUACUGUGGAAAUCC